rnacentral:rRNA from 1 species
UACGAAGGGGGCAAGCGUUGUCCGGAAUCAUUGGGCGUAAAGAGCGUGUAGGCGGCUCGAUAAGUCUGCUGUGAAAGUCCAGGGCUCAACCCUGGAAGGCCGGUGGAAACUGUCGGGCUAGAGUCCGGAAGAGGCGAGUGGAAUUCCCGGUGUAGCGGUGAAAUGCGCAGAUAUCGGGAGGAACACCAAUGGCGAAGGCAGCUCGCUGGGACGGUACUGACGCUGAGACGCGAAAGCGUGGGGAGCAAACAGG